GCUACUUUAUCUAGAGUUUCGAAUCGGCUAGAUGUGUGGUC
rnacentral:sRNA from 1 species